rnacentral:rRNA from 1 species
GAUGAACGCUGGCGGCGUGCCUAAUACAUGCAAGUCGAGCGGCCAGACGAGGAGCUUGCUCCUCGUACGUUAGCGGCGGACGGGUGAGUAACGCGUGGAUACGCUCCCUAUAAGACGGAGUAACUUCCGGAAAACGGGACCAAUACCCGGUAAUAUCAUCGAAUCGCAGGGUUCAUUAGCUAAAGACGGUUCUCGUGUCGGUUAUAGAUGUAUCCGCGCUGCUUUAGCUCGUAGGUAACGUAACGGCUUACCAAUGCAACGAUGCGUAGCCGACCUGAGAGGGUGAUUGGCUACACUGGCACUGAGACACGCUCCAGACUCCUACGGGAGGACGCAGUAGGGAAUCUUACGCGAUGGGCGAAAGCGUGACGGAGCACAGUCGGGUGAGUGAUGAAGGUCCUCGGAUGGGAGAACGCUGUUAUUAGGGAAGUUCAAAUGUGUAAGUAUCUAUGAACGUCUUGACGGUAACUAAUGAGAAAGCCUCGGCUAACUACGUG